rnacentral:rRNA from 1 species
GAUGAACGCCGGCGGUGUGCCUAAUACAUGCAAGUUGUAGGCACUGGCCCAAAUGAUUAAUGGUGCUUGCACCUGAUUGACGAUGGAUCACCAGUGAGUGGCGGACGGGUGAGUAACACGUAGGUAACCUGCCCCGGAGCGGGGGAUAACAUUUGGAAACAGAUGCUAAUACCGCAUAACAACAAAAGCCACAUGGCUUUUGUUUGAAAGAUGGCUUCGGCUAUCACUCUGGGAUGGACCUGCGGUGCAUUAGCUAGUUGGUAAGGUAACGGCUUACCAAGGCGAUGAUGCAUAGCCGAGUUGAGAGACUGAUCGGCCACAAUGGAACUGAGACACGGUCCAUACUCCUACGGGAGGCAGCAGUAGGGAAUCUUCCACAAUGGGCGCAAGCCUGAUGGAGCAACACCGCGUGAGUGAAGAAGGGUUUCGGCUCGUAAAGCUCUGUUGUUGGAGAAGAACGUGCGUGAGAGUAAUUGUUCACGCGGUGACGGUAUCC